rnacentral:lncRNA from 1 species
GACCACUUGAAAAAAAAGUUCAGAUUUUUUGUAAUGUUGAAUUCUCUCUAUUAUAAGUAAUAGGAUAACUAUAUUUGAUAUGUGUGUACCUUGCAAGGUCCUCAUGUCUGUCAGACAGUUUUCACUUGACCUCGACCUCAUUUCAUGGAUCAGUGAACAAGGUUAAGUUUUGGUGGUCAAGUCCAUAUCUCAGACACUAUAAGCAAUAGGGCUAGUAUAUUCGGUGUAUGGAAGGACUGUAAGGUGUACAUGUCCAACUGGCAGGUGUCAUCUGACCUUGACCUCAUUUUCAUGGUUCAGUGGUUAUAGUUAAAUUUUUGUGUUUUGGUCUGUUGUUCUCAUACUAUAUGCAAUAGGUCUACUAUAUUUGUUGUAUGGAAUGAUUGUAAGGUGUACAUGUCUAGCGGGCAGAUGUCAUGUGACCUUGACCUCAUUUUCAUGGUUCAGUGGUCAAAGUUAAGUUUUUGAGUUUUGGUCUUUUUAUCUAAUACUAUAUGCCAUAGGUCAACUAUAUUUGGUGUAUGGAAAUAUUUAAUGAUCUUUAUGUCAGUCGCGCAGGUUUUAUUUGACCGUGACCUCAUUUUCACGGUUCAUUGCACAGUGUUAAGUUUUUGUGUUUUGG